CUAAGGCCAACGGGAGAAGGGUUGUUAAGGAACUCGGCAAAUUGACCCCGUAACUUCGGGAGAAGGGGUGCUCCAGAGAUGGAGCCGCAGAGAAUCGGCCCAAGCAACUGUUUACCAAAAACACAGGUUUGUGCUAAAUCGAAAGAUGACGUAUACGAGCUGACGCCUGCCCGGUGCUGGAAGGUUAAGAGGAGAUGUGCAAGCAUUGAAUCGAAGCCCCAGUGAACGGCGGCCGUAACUAUAACGGUCCUAAGGUAGCGAAAUUCCUUGUCAGGUAAGUUCUGACCCGCAUGAAAGGCGUAAUGAUUUGGGCACUGUCUCAACAGCCCGCCCGGCGAAAUUGUAGUACCGGUGAAGAUGCCGGUUACCCGCGACAAGACGGAAAGACCCCAUGGAGCUUUACUGUAGCCUAAUAUUGGGUUUCGAUGUUGCAUGCACAGGAUAGAUGGGACACAGGGAAACAAGUGCUUUGGCAUUUGUGGAGUGGCCGUUGGGAUACCAUCCUUGCGAUAUUGGAAUUCUAACCUGCGCCUUUGAAUCAAGGCGGGGGACAUUGUUAGGUGGGCAGUUUGACUGGGGCGGUCGCCUCCUAAAGAGUAACGGAGGCGUUCAAAGGUUCGCUCAGCUUGAACGGAAAUCAAGCAAAAGAGUGCAAACGCAGAAGCGAGCCUAACUGCGAGACUGACGGGUCGAGCAGUAACGAAAGUUGGAGUUAGUGAUCCGGUGGUAUGUGAGUGGAAAUGCCAUCGCUCAACGGAUAAAAGUUACCCUGGGGAUAACAGGCUGAUCUCCCCCAAGAGUCCACAUCGACGGGGAGGUUUGGCACCUCGAUGUCGGCUCAUCGCAUCCUGGGGCUGUAUUCGGUCCCAAGGGUUUGGCUGUUCGCCAAUUAAAGCGGUACGCGAGCUGGGUUCAGAACGUCGUGAGACAGUUCGGUCCCUAUCUGUCGUGGGCGCAGGAUAUUUGAUGGGAGCUGUUCCUAGUACGAGAGGACCGGAGCGGACGUACCUCUGGCGCACCAGUUGUUCUGCCAAGAGCAUAGCUGGGCAACUAUGUACGGAUCGGAUAAACGCUGAAAGCAUCUAAGCGUGAAGCCGACCCAAAGAUAAGAUAUCCCAUUGUUUCAAACAAGUAAGACCCCUUGAAGACUACAAGGUUGAUAGGCACGAUGUGUAAGUGGAGUGAUCCAUUCAGCAAGCGUGUACUAAUAGGUCGAGGGCUUGACCAC
rnacentral:rRNA from 1 species